UCGUGCUAGACGGGGAGCUAGCGGUGCCCUGUACCCGCAAUCCGCUAUAGCGGGGUCGACUUCCCCUCCGAGGGCGUGUCGCUUGAGGUCUGGGGGGCGUAAGCGGCGUUGAAGGCCGGGUCCUGCGCAGCGGGCCUCUUGUGAAACCCGUCAGGUCCGGAAGGAAGCAGCGGUAAACAAUGGGGCCCGGGUGCCGCAGAUUGUCCGGCCCGAGUUGGCUGCGCCCAUUCCGCUUGGGUGAUGCGUUCGACGAGGGGUGCACGA
rnacentral:SRP_RNA from 1 species